rnacentral:rRNA from 1 species
AUUGAACGCUGGCGGCAUGCUUUACACAUGCAAGUCGAACGGUAACAGGUCUUCGGAUGCUGACGAGUGGCGAACGGGUGAGUAAUGCAUCGGAACGUGCCCAGUCGUGGGGGAUAACGCAGCGAAAGCUGCGCUAAUACCGCAUACGAUCUAUGGAUGAAAGCGGGGGACCGUAGGGCCUCGCGCGAUUGGAGCGGCCGAUGUCAGAUUAGGUAGUUGGUGGGGUAAAGGCCCACCAAGCCAACGAUCUGUAGCUGGUCUGAGAGGACGACCAGCCACACUGGGACUGAGACACGGCCCAGACUCCUACGGGAGGCAGCAGUGGGGAAUUUUGGACAAUGGGCGCAAGCCUGAUCCAGCAAUGCCGCGUGCAGGAAGAAGGCCUUCGGGUUGUAAACUGCUUUUGUACGGAACGAAACGGCCCUCUCUAAUACAGAGGGCUAAUGACGGUACCGUAAGAAUAAGCACCGGCUAACUACGUGCCAGCCGCCGCCGUAACAC